UCAAGUCACAGAAAUGUCUUUAGAAGUUUACAUUGAUGUAGUACAUUUAAUUAAAUUAAAGAAAAAUAGAAGUUAACUAUGGAAACUUAAACUAUGUUAUAAGUAUAGAUAAAGGGGAUUUGUAUGCCAUAUAUUUUUAAAGGCACUAAGGGCAGAAAUAGGAGUGGCCAGCAGGGGGCUUUUUUAGGUUUCUCCACCUUUCAGUGUAGGAAACUGAAAUUCAUUUUUCUCUUAUUUUUUUCUAAGAGAGGACCUGACAGGGAAGCUGGGCUGCUACACUGACACUGUGCUUGCACAUCCCAACAGUCAAGUUCCCUUCUGCUAAUGCCUUCCUACCUUUCCCCUCUCCACUCUUAUUUUCCAAGUCCUGGUAGGUAUGACCCCUGCUGGACUGAGUUACCACUGGCCUCUGUCCUCACCUUAAACUCCACCUUUGAAAACUUCCUGAGGAGGAAUCGAACGAUUGUCUUCCCAUCACACAUAAACUGAAAGACAAUGAAGUACAGACUUGUCAACAGUGUGUAAGAAAGCAGCCAUUUCUAAUAGACAAGAAAAUGCAAACAUGCACUAAGUCAUAAUGUUCGGAGACUUGGUCUUUAGAGGUCAGCAGCAAUAUGGGAAAUUAUGCUGUCUUUUUUGAAACCAAGUUUCACAGGGGCCUUGAACUCAUAGUCCUGCCUCUGCUUCCUGAGGCCUGGGCUUAUAGGUACCAAUGUUAAUUAUGUACGCAUUUCAUUUUAACAUAGACAUUGGAUGGAGGAAAAGAAGGAGUCCUAUAUGCUGGAAAUCUGCACUUUUUAGUGCCUGCUAUCCUGGAAUUGUGAACCAAAGUAAACAUUCCCUUCCUUCGCUUGCUUUUCUUGGGAUUGUUUGUCACAGUAACGGAGAUGAGGAGUAAGGUACAAACUGAUACACAGAGAUGUCAUCAUUUUCACGCUCCAGCCAAUCUCGGAUUUUCAUUGCAUUCUAUUCUGAGUCCUUUCAGAGCGAUGAACUUCCAAAAAUCUAACCGAGCACAGACUUAUCUCAUUUGCUGAUGGCUUCAGAGUCCUCUGGAUUAUGGCAGAGAUUUGAUGGUAUAAUCAUCUCCCAUGAGAAUUAUCCAAACAGCUGUGAAGGCAAGACCGAGCUACAGGGGCCUUGCAGUGCCUCGUAAUAGCAGCAAGGACCAAGGCCGAACAAAAUGAAUCUUUUCUGUUUCUCAUUGGAAGGCUCCACAGAGAGCAUAUAUGAGCCAAUCCCACAGCAAGCUAAACAAGAAGGCACCUGUAGCAGAAGUGAGGAUACAGGACAAGCAUUUAACAAGCUCGGUGUGGCACAACACUGGUACUUAGAUGACUUCAUAUUUGACCCCUGCACUUCCCAUCAAGGUCAUCGUACCCCUUCCAAAACAAAAAUUCAAGAUUACCCUUCAAGCCCUUCUGAAAACAAAAGAGAGAGAGCUUCUUCCAGCUGUAUUACCUACCCAUAAUUCUUCAUUCCACUUUAAUUAAAAGACCAUAUUGAUGACACCCUCUGA